ACAGGAUUAGAUACCCUGGUAGUCCACGCCGUAAACGAUGUCGACUUGGAGGCUGUUCCCUUGAGGAGUGGCUUCCGGAGCUAACGCGUUAAGUCGACCGCCUGGGGAGUAUGGCCGCAAGGUUAAAACUCAAAUGAAUUGACGGGGGCCCGCACAAGCGGUGGAGCAUGUGGUUUAAUUCGAUGCAACGCGAAGAACCUUACCUGGCCUUAACAUCCAGAGAACUUUCCAGAGAUGGAUUGGUGCCUUCGGGAACUCUGAGACAGGUGCUGCAUGGCUGUCGUCAGCUCGUGUUGUGAAAUGUUGGGUUAAGUCCCGCAACGAGCGCAACCCUUAUCCUUUGUUGCCAGCGAUUCGGUCGGGAACUCAAAGGAGACUGCCGGUGAUAAACCGGAGGAAGGUGGGGAUGACGUCAAGUCAUCAUGGCCCUUACGGCCAGGGCUACACACGUGCUACAAUGGCGCAUACAAAGAGAAGCGACCUCGCGAGAGCAAGCGGACCUCAUAAAGUGCGUCGUAGUCCGGAUCGGAGUCUGCAACUCGACUCCGUGAAGUCGGAAUCGCUAGUAAUCGUGGAUCAGAACGCCACGGUGAAUACGUUCCCGGGCCUUGUACACACCGCCCGUCACACCAUGGGAGUGGGUUGCAAAAGAAGUAGGUAGCUUAACCUUCGGGAGGGCGCUUACCACUUUGUGAUUCAUGACUGGGGUGAAGUCGUAACCAAGGUAGC
rnacentral:rRNA from 1 species